AGUGAACGCUGGCGGUAGGCCUAACACAUGCAAGUCGAACGGCAGCACAGUAAGAGUUUGCUCUUACGGGUGGCGAGUGGCGGACGGGUGAGGAAUACAUCGGAAUCUACUUUUUCGUGGGGGAUAACGUAGGGAAACUUACGCUAAUACCGCAUACGACCUACGGGUGAAAGCAGGGGAUCUUCGGACCUUGCGCGAUUGAAUGAGCCGAUGUCGGAUUAGCUAGUUGGCGGGGUAAAGGCCCACCAAGGCGACGAUCCGUAGCUGAUCUGAGAGGAUGAUCAGCCACACUGGAACUGAGACACGGUCCAGACUCCUACGGGAGGCAGCAGUGGGGAAUAUUGGGCAAUGGGCGCAAGCCUGAUCCAGCCAUACCGCGUGGGUGAAGAAGGCCUUCGGGUUGUAAAGCCCUUUUGUUGGGAAAGAAAAACAGCAGAUUAAUACCCCGCUGUUCUGACGGUACCCAAAGAAUAAGCACCGGCUAACUUCGUG
rnacentral:rRNA from 1 species